AUGCACUGGAGAACAUAUGAAGCAUCACAAACUGCAGGAUAAUUAAACGUGACGAGUGGAAAAUGGUGAACAAAAAGGACACAAAGUUACAAUCUAAUGAGCCGAAAAAGACGCCGAGACUAGUCAGAGAAAACAGCAUUAAUGGUGGCAAACCAAACUUUUCUGACAUUGCAGAGUUUCAGAAGAGUCUCAAACAAGAAAGCAGCAGUUCUAAUAAUCUAAGCAGCAAGAUAUUCUCCAU